rnacentral:tRNA from 1 species
AGUGGCGAAAUUGGUAGACGCACCAGAUUUAGGUUCUGGCGCCGAGAGGCGUAAGAGUUCAAGUCUCUUCUUCCGCACCA